CAUGAAAGCAAUGGGCUGACCUGCAAAGACUUCAGCACUGAAUCCUUUUACCACAGUUACAAGGAGAUGCCAAGGUAGCGCUCAAGCUUUAUUUUUAUAAACCAAAUGCUGCUGAUGGUGACGAUCAUGAGUCUGAUGACUUCUUGCCUGCUGACUUAUCCUUGUCUGGGUUUGGAGAUUGGUCCUUGGUCUUGGGGCCGUGAUCCUCAGAGCUGGUACGGAGAGGGCUGGGUCGCUGAACAGAGUCUGACGCCGUCCUCACUGACAACAAGAGAGAGAGAGAAGACUAAACUUACAGAGGCCGCUGCCCAUCAUCUGCAGUCCUGGGUACCGCCUCCCUCCCUGAGGACUGCCCCUGCCGUCAGAACCCUCCCAAGGCUCAUCUAUGGAGUCUGGCGUCCUCAGCUCUUCUGAUCGGUCUG